UACGAAGGGGGCUAGCGUUGCUCGGAAUGACUGGGCGUAAAGGGCGCGUAGGCGGUUCACACAGUCAGGCGUGAAAUUCCUGGGCUUAACCUGGGGGCUGCGUUUGAUACGUGUGGGCUUGAGGGUGGAAGAGGCUCGUGGAAUUCCCAGUGUAGAGGUGAAAUUCGUAGAUAUUGGGGAGAACACCGGUGGCGAAGGCGGCGAGCUGGUCCAUUGCUGACGAUGAGGCGCGAAAGAGUGGGGAGCAAACAGG
rnacentral:rRNA from 1 species